UUAUUUUGUAUAUACUAAAAAAUAUAUUUUAUUUUUCUUUUUAUAUCAAUGAAUUGUUCAUGGAUUAACAGAAAUGUGCAAAAUCUCUUAUUAAUAUAACAUUUGAAUAAACUAAUUGUUAGCUCUUUUUUUAAUGAAACCGUGCAUUAUACGGGUGCAGGCCCGGUGGUGGCCUUGUGCAACCUGGUCAACAGCACAGGGCCACCAAAAAAAAGGGCCCAUUUUCAAAGCCCUAACAUACAAUUAUAUAUAUAAAAAAAAAUGAAUGCCUGCUAUUCUGCGAAUUCAUCGGUUCAACUUCCGACGCUUUCCUUUCUCAAGAAUUCAACUCUCCAUUCAUCUCCCUUGAAUUACUCAUUGUUUCCAAUAUUAUCCUAAAUUUCCAAUUUCAAUAAUCUUGUUUUCAACCCUUCCAUAUUCUAAUCAUCAAUUUGUAUUAAUCACUCUUAAAUUUCAAUGGAAGAAUCGAAAAAUUCAUGUGAUUUUUCAUUUGAUAAUUUGGAUGAUUGAAUUCUCUAUUUGCUUAGAAUUGGAAAGGGGUGAGAUUUGGGGAUUUGUUGGAGAUGAAGAACCAAAAUCGCAGAGGCACAGCUAAAGAUUAGGAGCCCUAAAGAUGAGGAGCAGAUAUUGAUUUUUCAUCCGGAAGUUAUUGUUCAAUCGGCUAAAAAUCACCAUGUUACAUCGGUCCGUCUUUUACUUUCAAGUACAUUUUAUUACGGAGUAUUAUGUAUUUUAUUUUUCGUUAAAUAGUUUUUAGAAUGUUACCUUAGUUUCUUGUAAUAUGGCUUCUAAACGAAAGCAUAAAGAAGUGAAUGUCAAUAUUUCUCAAUUUUUGGAUUUUGAUUAUCA